rnacentral:rRNA from 1 species
AACGGCCGCGGUAUCCUAACCGUGCAAAGGUAGCAUAAUCAUUUGCCUAUUAAUUGUAGGCUAGAAUGAAUGGGUUAACGAAAUAAAAACUGUCUCAAUUAACCACCUAAAAAUUACUAUCUAUCUGAAGAAGGGUAGAUAACCUCGAAGGACAAGAAGACCCUGUAGAGCUUAAUUUUAAUUAUAGAGCUACACUAUAAAAAUAUUCGGUUGGGGCGACCCAGGGCUAAUUAAUCACCCACUAAAUAAAAGAUAAAUUAAUCAAAUCAUUGACCCCUAAAAGAUCAUAAGAACAAGCUACCUUAGGGAUAACAGGCUAAUCCCACUCAAGAGUCCUUAUCAACAGUGGGGUUUGGCACCUCGAUGUUGGCUUAGG